UCGACCUCCCUAUUUACUUUGCCUUCACCGUUUCUAGACUGCUGUGUGACCCGAUAGCUGAUGAUGAGAAGCAUGUAUUGGCAUGUCAAUAGCAGGAUGCACAAGUGAUUAAACCGGUGGACUAUUCCAUUAUGCAGAUUAAUGGACUGCCCACAAGGUUAGGAGGGGGCUUGAGAUUCCUGGUGGAAGGAGGGGAGGAUUAAUUUAUUAUUAUGCUGCCCAUAAGAAGAGGAACAUCGUCCGCCAUCUUUCAUGUUGAAAUUGUAUUUUGAUAAUUUUGACAUUAUCUGAAUAUUAAGAACACGGUCUGCUCUUCUGCUGUUUAUGUGAGCGUCGCAUCUGCAGCCGCGCACGAUACAAGCGCACUGCUCCUGACAAGCGGCGAGAAUUUCUGCAGACCAGCCUUUUGUGUGUUUUUGUGUCGUCGCUCUCCAAAUCCGUGGAAAAAGAAGAAUUAUUCAACCAGCAGCUAUCAGCCGAAAGUACUCAUUCGCCUAGGAACGACAAUAAACCACUCCAUUGCUUCCGUAGUCGCAGAAUGUACGUUGUCACUGUCAGCUUUAGACUAUUGAAAAAUUCGCCACAUAUCCAUAUAAACUGUAAAAUUAUUCAAUGUCAUGUUUUAUUCAUUUUUUAUUAACGGAAUGCUCUGGAUAUUAGCGUUAUUGAGUUUCCUGUAGAAUUUGAAUAUUUAUAAUAUUGUAGUUAUAAGUACCGUACAGGAUUCUUGAAAUAAAAUAAAAAUCCUCA